GAAAUGCGAUAAGUAAUGUGAAUUGCAGAAUUCAGUGAAUCAUCGAAUCUUUGAACGCACAUUGCGCCCAUUAGUAUUCUAGUGGGCAUGCCUGUUCGAGCGUCAUUUCAACCCUUAAGCCCUAGUUGCUUAGCGUUGGGACCUUACCGCAAGGUAACUCCCCAAAGUCAGUUGGCAGAGUCAGGGUGCACUCUAAGCGUAGUAGAUCUCUUCUUUCUCGCUUCUGUGGUCGCCCCGGCCUCUCGCCGUGAAACCCCCAACUUUUUAGUGGUUGACCUCGGAUCAGGUAGGAAUACCCGCUGAACUUAA
rnacentral:misc_RNA from 1 species